GAUGAAGAACGUAGCGAAAUGCGAUAAGUAAUGUGAAUUGCAGAAUUCAGUGAAUCAUCGAAUCUUUGAACGCACAUUGCGCCCCCUGGUAUUCCGGGGGGCAUGCCUGUUCGAGCGUCAUUUCACCACUCAAGCCUCGCUUGGUAUUGGGCAAUGCGGUCCGCCGCCUGCCUCAAAUCGACCGGCUGGGUCUUCUGUCCCCUAAGCGUUGUGGAAACUAUUCGCUAAAGGGUGUUCGGGAGGCUACGCCGUAAAACAACCCCAAUUCUAAGGUUGACCUCGGAUCAGGUAGGGAUACCCGCUGAACUUAAGCAUAUCAAUAAGCGGAGGA
rnacentral:misc_RNA from 1 species